rnacentral:rRNA from 1 species
GACGAACGCUGGCGGCGUGCUUAACACAUGCAAGUCGAACGAGGUCCACCGCGUAGCAAUACAAGGGAAGACCUAGUGGCGAACGGGUGCGUAACACGUGAGGAACUUGUCCCGGUCUCUGGGAUAACAGUUGGAAACGACUGCUAAUACCAGAUGACGUCGGAAUCUCGCAUGGGAUACUGACGAAAGGGUUACUGGAUCGGGAGAGCCUCGCGGCCUAUCAGCUUGUUGGUGAGGUAACGGCUCACCAAGGCGUCGACGGGUAGCUGGUCUGAGAGGAUGAUCAGCCACACUGGGACUGAGACACGGCCCAGACUCCUACGGGAGGCAGCAGUGGGGAAUCUUGCGCAAUGGGCGAAAGCCUGACGCAGCAACGCCGCGUGCGGGAAGAAGGCCCUCGGGUUGUAAACCGCAUUCAGUAGGAACGAAAAUGACGGUACCUGCAGAAGAAGGUGCGGCCAACUACGUGCCAGCAGACGCGGUAAAGUAGUCGUGU